CCAGAGAGUUUCGGUGGAUUCCCUAAGAUCACAUACCCAUUAUGUGGUGGAGAGGGAAUAUGAACCAGUGCUGGCUUGCUAUGCCUCUUUCCAUAUGGGGUCAGACAUAGAUGUGGUGUCUUAUAAUGUGAGGGAGGUCUACUUGGCAGAAAUAUCCUGCAGACCCUAUAUGCCAGUUUCUUAUUUAUUUAAACAAAGCCCCAUAUGAGCAUUUCUGAUAAGCAGUUUGUUUACACACUAAUUCCACAGAGGUUAAAUAUAACCCUAAUGUUUCUUUGUUGCUACUCUGUUUCCAGUAUUGAAUUAUUACCACAAGGUACCAACCAUAUAUGCAUACUUAAUAGGGUAUUUUGUCAAAACUAUGCAUGAAGGUCAUUUGUUUGAGAUGUCAGAACAUUUUCCCGUGAGAAGAUCUCAUUGGGCAUUGAAACAGAACCACAUGCUCUUCAGACCAGCAACCGCGACUACCAAAUACUCCUCUGUCAACUCUACUUGAGUAAGAACGCUUUCAAUUAAGGCCUAAGUGUCAACAUGCCUUUAAAAAAAAUCGUGGUGACACAAAAUCUUUCUUUUUAGCACCCAACAGAAUCCCUUCAAAGCCUCGUGGUCUGACACCCUAUGCUACGUGACUUGUGACCCAUCCAUUUGUCAUGUUCUUCGGGAAUGUGGCUAAGGGGCUAAGAUGUGACUUGAAAAGAAAGGUAGAACAAGAUCAUCUCAAAUUUAUUAUCAAGGAAUAGUUCAGAAAACGACUUCAGACCACAGAGACAGCAGAACAGAUGGUCCGGCAUGGAUAGAGCAUCAGACACUCACAGACUGUGCCAACAAGAGCCAUCGAGUCAAAACAGCCAAAGGAAGGAGGGUCAUGGAAUGGGUUCUCUCACACCAAACUGAUGCCCAGAGGCCCUCAGCAUGAAUAACAAAGGCAACCAGACCCACAAGCCAUACUGAGUGGAUACAAAACCUAUACCUAGGCUGACAUCCCAAAUGUGUGUGGCAAGUUAGAUGAUGAUGGCACAAAAGACAGAACACCUUGCUUCUGGCCAUUGUCAGCUCUUGGAAGAGAGCACACUUUUAGAGGAGCAGCUGCAAGGAGCCUGAGAACAAAACUGGAAAUGUCUGUUAUGAAAGCCUUCACAGGAAAUUCUGCAAGUGGCAACGUGGGUCCAUUCCGUGUGUGUCACUAGAGCUGGCGCAAGCCCAUGGCCAUGGUGAGGCAGCGUUUCCACUGGAACUAAUCUGAUACCUGCACCAGCUCUUGCAACUGUGCAGUGUUCCCACUGCAAACUACGGAUGGGGUAAAAGACUGCUCACCUCCUAUUUCUCAUCUAAUCUCACACACUCUGUUUGAUGAGGCUAUGGAGAAACAGGUCUUCUCAUACACUAAAGGUGGGAGUACAAACAAUUCAAGCCCUGUGCAGGACAAUUAGGCAAUACCUAUCAAAAUUAUACAUGAUUUUUCCUGCUGACCCAGCAAUUCCACUUCUGGGAAUAAUUGACAGAUAUAGGUGCAUAUGUACAAAAUGAUGGAAAGCUCUCUGGUAUAUAUUAGUAAGUGAUAAAACAAGGUGUAAAAUAGUGUAUAUAUGGCUACUACCUUUUGUUUUAAAAAUGGGGGAAAAUGGUGGAGCUUGCGGUGAGCCGAGAUCGUGCCACUGCACUCCAGCCUGGGCGACAGAGCGAGACUCCGUCUCAAAAAAAAAACAGGGUGGGGUGGGGGGGAAAUAAUAGUACAUACUCAUAUUUACCUGUAUCUAUAUAAAACACACUAUCAAGGAUUCACAAGAAACUAAUACAAAUGAUCACCUUAUAGAUGGUAUGUAUUGGGGGAUACUGAGGUGAGCAGGGUAUAAGUGGGGCAAGACUUUUCAGUGUAAACUUCUUUUAAAUUUUAUUUUGAUUUUUGAAUAAUGUAAAUUAACUGUCAAAUAAUUAAAUUAAAAAUAACCAAUUUAUUAACAAAACA
rnacentral:lncRNA from 1 species